rnacentral:lncRNA from 1 species
UUCAGGCUCCCUCUCCGGAAUCGAACUCUAAUUCUCCGUCACCCGUCACCACCAUGGUAGGCCACUAUCCUACCAUCGAAAGUUGAUAGGGCAGAUAUUUGAAUGAUGCGCCGCCAGCACGAUGGCUGUGCGAUCCGUCGAGUUAUCAUGAAUCAUCAGAGCAACGGGCAGAGCCCGCGUCAGCCUUUUAUCUAAUAAAUGCAUCCCUUCUAGAAGUCGGGGUUUGUUGCACGUAUUAGCUCUAGAAUUACUACAGUUAUCCUAGUAGUAGAUACCAUCAAACAAACUAUAACUGAUUUAAUGAGCCAUUCGCAGUUUCACAGUUUGAAUUAGUUCAUACUUACACAUGCAUGGCUUAAUCUUUGAGACAAGCAUAUGACUACUGGCAGGAUCAACCAGGUAGCAUUCCUUUC